rnacentral:lncRNA from 1 species
GCUGUACAUUAUUGCUGUUUACAGUUUAUCUCUAUCUAUAAUAAUAUUCAAGAUAAUAACAAAAAAACAGCAAAAUUUCUUCAAAAUUACCAAUUCAGGGACAGCAACCUAACAACCGAUUAUCCGAUUAAUCUGAAAAUUCCAGGGCAGAUAGAUCUUGACCUGAUCAACAAUUUUACUUCCUGUCAGAUUUGCUCUUAAUGCUUUGGUUUUUGAGUUAUAAGCCAAAAACGGCAUUUUACCCCCAUGUUCUAUUUUUAGCCAUGGCGGCCAUCUUGGUUUGUUGGCCGAGUUACCGGACACAUUUUUUUAACUAGAUACCCCAAUGAUGAUUAUGGCUAAGUUUGGUUAAAUUUGACCCAGUAGUUUCAGAGGAGAAGAUUUUUCUAAAAGAUUACUAAGAUUUACGAAAAAUGGUUAAAAAUUGACUAUAAAGGGCAAUAACUCCUAAAGUGGUCAACUAACCAUUUUGGUCAUG